AUCAACUUUCAAAGCUCUAUUUUUAAUAAACAGCCAUGGCGGCGGAGAAGAAGAAGCUGCAGUUGAAGCUCUCGGAGCUCCGCCGCGCCUACUCGUCGCCGGAGUAAGGAGUUGUGGAUUUUGACUGGGGAAAGAGGUUGAAGUUCGGGAUUGAGAGCCAGUUCGAGCAUUGAAGACGAAGCUCAAGGAAUUUGAGAAACGCAGUUUGAUCAGUGUUUUCUUUCUAAGAAUUUCAGUUUUCGUUUCUUCACUUUUUGCAGAAAUCAAUGUGCAAGGAACCUCCAGAAUCUAAGCUUCUUCGUCUCUCUGCUUCUACUCAAGAUUUACCCAAGUCUGUCAUUUGCAAUGUUCUUGGUGUGAAUCCCAAGUUCUUAAAAAUUGGAGAAAAAAUUGCUGCAGAGAGGGGAGUAGGGCAGAAAGCCUUUGCUAAAUGGGCACAUUGUUUUUGGGAAAGAUGGUAUGGGCAAAGGGAUACAAGGAGUUGAUCGAUUUAAUAGCAAAGCAUAAGGCUGAGCUUGAUGGCUUCAAGUUGGAUAUUUCUUGACACACAGAGUUUGCUAAUGAAAUUCAAAGUGCAGCUAGGAGGAUGAAUUUGAAUCUCAACUUUCAGAAAGGAAGAAACCACGCAGAUGUUCACGGGUACAAAGUCUUCAUAAAUCUUAGCAUUAGUGAUGUGCUAUGCACAGCUACAGCUGAGGUUUUGCGCUGAUCAUCAAUCAAAUGAGUUCUUCAGAUCGUUUCCCAACUGCUUGACUGACAUAGCAUCUGAAGACUUUGUAUCAAAAGUAACAGAACAAGGAACAUUCCGAGCUUGUAAGAGUCCUGAACAAGGAAAAGGAUGGUGCAAAAGCAAGUAUAGGUAAUGGAAAGCUCAUUGCUAAGUCAGUGUUCAAUGCUUAAUUUGACAGAACUAGUAGAUGGAUGGUUAGCAUUUGCUCACUACUGUUUCACUGGGAACAAAUUCCUAAGGUUAUGUACUGGAGUAAUACCGGGUACACAUGACUAUAACCAGCAGCACUGUAAAGACCUUCAUCUCUUGCUUGACAGGUACAAAAUCAUGUCUAUGGCUGGUGAAUAGAUUGAGUAGACUGAAUAUGUGAGGAAGGAAUUAUGAUAAGCAACACUAUAAAAAAUUUAUAAAUGGCUGUUGAAUAGUGAAAUUUGUAGUUACUGCUUAUUUUAUAGUUGCUUGUAAUUAGGUGCCUGUUAAGUUUUGUAGUUGAUUUUGCGGUUGUAAGUGAUGUAGUUUAUUAUAGUUCAAACACUUGUAGAAGGCCAAUGUUUAGUUCUACCAUGUAAUGAUGGUAAAGAAGUAAUUUGUGGGAGUGAACCGUAACAAAUAUGGAUCAGU